ACUCGAGUGGCGAACGGGUGAGUACCGCGUGGGUGAUCUGCCCUGCACUUCGGGAUAAGCCUGGGAAACUGGGUCUAAUACCGGAUAGGAGCCAUUUUUAGUGUGAUGGUUGGAAAGUUUUUCGGUGUAGGAUGAGCUCGCGGCCUAUCAGCUUGUUGGUGGGGUAAUGGCCUACCAAGGCGGCGACGGGUAGCCGGCCUGAGAGGGUGGACGGCCACAUUGGGACUGAGAUACGGCCCAG
rnacentral:rRNA from 1 species